GACGAACGCUGGCGGCGUGCUUAACACAUGCAAGUCGAACGGUGAAGCGAGUGCUUACACUCGUGGAUCAGUGGCGAACGGGUGAGUAACACGUGAGUAACCUGCCCAUCACCCUGGGAUAAGCACUGGAAACGGUGUCUAAUACUGGAUACGACCAACCCUUGCAUGGGGUGUUGGUGGAAAGAUUUAUCGGUGAUGGAUGGACUCGCGGCCUAUCAGCUUGUUGGCGGGGUAAUGGCCCACCAAGGCGACGACGGGUAGCCGGCCUGAGAGGGUGACCGGCCACACUGGGACUGAGACACGGCCCAGACUCCUACGGGAGGCAGCAGUGGGGAAUAUUGCACAAUGGGCGAAAGCCUGAUGCAGCGACGCCGCGUGAGGGAUGACGGCCUUCGGGUUGUAAACCUCUUUCAGCAGGGAAGAAGCGAAAGUGACGGUACCUGCAGAAGAAGCACCGGCUAACUACGUG
rnacentral:rRNA from 1 species